rnacentral:ribozyme from 1 species
UGUCCAGCAACUUCUAUCCCUACCUCCGCGUGGUACCAGCUGGAAACUACGAGCAACCUUAGGGAAGA